UACGUAGGGGCAAGCGUUGUCCGGAAUCAUUGAGCGUAAAGAGCGUGUAGGCGGCUCGGUAAGUCCGCUGUGAAAGUCCAGGGCUCAACCCUGGAAUGCCGGUGGAAACUGUCGAGCUAGAGUCCGGAAGAGGCGAGUGGAAUUCCUGGUGUAGCGGUGAAAUGCGCAGAUAGUCAGGAGGAACACCGAUGGCGAAGGCAGCUCGCUGGGACGGUACUGACGCUGAGACGCGAAAGCGUGGGGAGCAAACAGG
rnacentral:rRNA from 1 species